rnacentral:misc_RNA from 1 species
GUGAAUCAUCGAAUCUUUGAACGCAAAUUGCACUCUCCUCGGAGCCUAUGCCUGUUUGAGGGUCAGCCUAAAAAAAAUCGACGUACUCGCUGUUUCGCUGUGACAUUCGUCGGAAAUUGGGUCAUCUUAAACCUUUGGGUUUUUUAAGAGGCUUAAAAUUUUCUUUACGAUUCCACGAACGUUUUUAAUAUUUUACUUCUUACACACGUUUAUGGUAUCGAUUUUUAUUAGACUUGCCCGUUACAUCAGAUCGCGUCCU